UAAAUCUUCCCUCGGCGGGGGAUAACAUUCCAAAGGAGUGCUAAUACCGCAUAAGACCACGAGGCCGAAAGGCUUUGAGGUAAAAGCAGGCCUCUAUACAUAAGCUUGCACCUGAGGACGAGUCCGCGGCCCAUCAGCUAGUUGGUAGGGUAACGGCCUACCAAGGCUAAGACGGGUAGCUGGUCUGAGAGGAUGAUCAGCCACACUGGAACUGAGACACGGUCCAG
rnacentral:rRNA from 1 species